rnacentral:rRNA from 1 species
GACAGAGGUGCCGAGCGUUAGGCGGAAUCACUGGGCUUAAAGCGUGUGUAGGCGGGCCGUUAAGUACCCGAGUGAAAUCCCACCGCUCAACGGUGGAACGGCCGGGUAUACUGGCGGUCUUGGGCCACCCAGGGGUCACCGGAACAGGCGGUGGAGCGGUGAAAUGCGUAGAUAUCGCCUGGAACGCCGGCGGCGAAAGCGGGUGACUGGGGGUGUGCCGACGCUGAGACACGAAAGCCAGGGGAGCGAACGGG